rnacentral:rRNA from 1 species
UACGUAGGGGGCAAGCGUUGUUCGGAAUGACUGGGCGUAAAGGGUGCGUAGGCGGUGUAGCAAGUUAGAAGUGAAAUACCUAGAGCUUAACUCAGGUGCUGCUUCUAAAACUGCUAUACUUGAGUGCAGUAGAGGAAAGUGGAAUUCCUAGUGUAGCGGUGGAAUGCGCAGAUAUUAGGAGGAACAUCAGUGGCGAAGGCGACUUUCUGGACUGUAACUGACGCUGAGGCACGAAAGUGUGGGGAGCAAACAGG